rnacentral:rRNA from 1 species
GUCUUUGGCCGUCCAAGUUGUAAUUUAGAGAAGCGUCUUCCGCGCUGGACCGUGCACAAGUCUCCUGGAACGGAGCGUCGUAGAGGGUGAGAAUCCCGUCUUUGGCAUGGACACACCAGGGCUUUUGCGAUGCGCUCUCGAAGAGUCGAGUUGUUUGGGAAUGCAGCUCAAAAUGGGUGGUGAACUCCAUCUAAAGCUAAAUAUUGGCGAGAGACCGAUAGCGAACAAGUACCGUGAGGGAAAGAUGAAAAGCACUUUGGAAAGAGAGUGAAACAGUACGUGAAAUUGUUGAAAGGGAAACGCUUGAAGUCAGUCGCGUCGUCCGAGACUCAGCCUCGCCUCGGCUUGGCGUACUUCUCGGCCCGACGGGUCAGCAUCAAUUUCGCCUCUCGGAUAAUGGCGAGGGAAAAGUGACACCUUUACGGUGUGUUAUAGUCUCUCGUCGCAUGCGAGGGUCGGGAUUGAGGAACUCAGCACGCGCCCUCGGGCGUCGGGGCUUUCGCCCACGAUACGUGCUUAGGAUGUUGGCGUAAUGGCUUUAAACGACCCGUCUUGAAACACGGACCAAGGAGUCUAACAUGCCUGCGAGUGUUCGGGUGGAAAACCCGUGCGCGCAAUGAAAGUGAAAGUUGGGACCUCUGUCGUGGAGGGCACCGACGCCCGGACCAGACCUUCUGUGACGGCUCUGCGGUAGAGCAUGCAUGUUAGGACCCGAAAGAUGGUGAACUAUGCCUGAAUAGGGUGAAGCCAGAGGAAACUCUGGUGGAGGCUCGUAGCGAUUCUGACGUGCAAAUCGAUCGUCAAAUUUGGGUAUAGGGGCGAAAGACUAAUCGAACCAUCUAGUAGCUGGUUCC